rnacentral:ncRNA from 1 species
AGAAAACUUGGUCCCAAUUUCUUUUACUUUUUUUUCUAUAAUGAUACAUGCAAAGGUAAAUAAUCUCAACCAGUGAGGCUUAAAUAAAUUUUUUAUAAAUUUUUAUAAAAAUGAAAUGAAAUAAAGAAAACCUUUUUUCUAUAAUCAUAGAUAAUCCACAACAGCAGUACUAAAAAUUAAGCAAUUAGUAAAAGCCAGACUUAAUAAUAGAAAAUAAACAUUGGUUAAAAUACGUGCCAGCCACCGCGGUUAUACGUAAAAUGUAAAAAGUAAUAUAAACACCUUAGUGACAAGAACCCACUCUUAAGUAAAUAAAACCUAAAUAUCAACAGUUAAAUGUAUAAAUAAAAAGAAACCCUAAAACACAAAAGUAAUUUACUAAAAAAAAUUCACGUAAAUAUAAAAACAAACCAGGAUUAGAGACCCUGCUAUGUUAUAUCAUAAACAUAAAGAAAGAACUACAAGCAAAAGCUUAAAACUUAAAGGACUUGGCGGUUUUUUAGACCUUCCUAGAGGAGCCUGCCUCACAAUUGUCAACCCGCAAAACACCUAACCUACCUUAGAAAUUAAAUCCAGCCUGUAUAUCAUCAUCGUCAGCUCACCUCCCCAAAAGAAAGUAAGCAAAAUGGAACCCUCCAAAACGUUAGAUCAAGAUGCAGCCAAUAAGUAGGGGAAUGGUGGGCUACAAUAUUCAUUACCGAAUAACGAAAUUUUUAUUUAAAACAUCAAAAAAGUAGGAUUUAGCAGUAAGAGGGAUAAAGAAAAGCCCCCUGAAAAAGCCCUAAAAUACGUACACACCGCCCGUCACUCUCUUUAUCACAAAAAGAGAAAAGUCGUAACAAGGUAAGAGUAGGGGAACCUGCUCUUGGAAGGUU